rnacentral:rRNA from 1 species
ACGGGUACGGAGUAACGACGUGGUAGUACCUGCCUCAUACAGGGGGAUAACAGUUAGAAAUGACUGCUAACACCGCAUAAUAUAGCGAAACCGCAUGAUUUUGCUAUCAAAUAUUUAUAGGUAUGAGAUGGGCCCGCGUCUGAUUAGCUAGUUGGUGGGGUAAAGCCUACCAAGGCGACGAUCAGUAGCCGGCUUGAGAGAGUGACCGGCCACAUUGGGACUGAGACACGGCCCAAACUCCUACGGGAGGCAGCAGUGGGGAAUAUUGGACAAUGGGGGAAACCCUGAUCCAGCGACGCCCGCGUGAGUGAAGAAGUAUUUCGGUAUGUAAAGCUCUAUCAGCAGGGAAGAUAAUGACAGUACCUGACUAAGAAGCCCCGGCUAACUACGUGCCAGCAGCUGC